rnacentral:pre_miRNA from 1 species
AGUGGGAUAGUUGGGUCAAAUGAUGGUUCCAUUCCAAGUUUUCUAAAGAAUUUCCAUACUACUUUCCAAAGUGGUUGCACCAUUUGGCAGUCUCAUCAGCAGU